UGCCGGCGACCGGCGGACGGGUGCGUAACGCGUAUGUAACCUACCUUUGACAGGGGGAUAACAUCGAGAAAUUGGUACUAAUACCCCAUAACAUCACCGGAGGCAUCUUCGGUGGUUGAAAACUCAGGUGGUCAGAGAUGGACAUGCGUUGUAUUAGCUAGUUGGUGAGGUAACGGCUCACCAAGGCGACGAUACAUAGGGGGACUGAGAGGUCCAACCCCCCACAUUGGUACUGAGACACGGACCAAACUCCUACGGGAGGCAGCAG
rnacentral:rRNA from 1 species